ACUACGGGAGGCAGCAGUAGGGAAUAUUGCUCAAUGGGGGAAACCCUGAAGCAGCAACGCCGCGUGGAGGAUGAAGGUUUUCGGAUUGUAAACUCCUUUUGUUAGAGAAGAUUAUGACGGUAUCUAACGAAUAAGCACCGGCUAACUCCGUGCCAGCCGCCGCGUUAAUUGGGAGGGGGCAAGCGUUACUGGGAAGCACGGGGCGUAAAGAGCGCGUAGGCGGGAUAGCAAGUCACAUGUGAAAUCCUAUGGCUUAACCAUAGAACUGCAUUUGAAACUGUUAUGCUAGAGUAUGGGAGAGGUAGGUGGAAUGCGUGGUGUAGGGGUAAAAUCCGUAGAGAUCAAGAGGAAUACUCAUUGCGAAGGCGACCUGCUAGAACAUAACUGACGCUGAUGCGCGAAAGCGUGGGGAGCAAACAGGAUUAGAUACCCCUGUAGUC
rnacentral:rRNA from 1 species